UCAGAUUGAACGCUGGCGGCAGGCCUAACACAUGCAAGUCGAACGGUAACAGGAAGCAGCUUGCUUNUUUGCUGACGAGUGGCGGACGGGUGAGUAAUGUCUGGGAAACUGCNUGAUGGAGGGGGAUAACUACUGGAAACGGUAGCUAAUACCGCAUAACGUCGCAAGACCAAAGAGGGGGACCUUCGGGCCUCUUGCCAUCGGAUGUGCCCAGAUGGGAUUAGCUAGUAGGUGGGGUAACGGCUCACCUAGGCGACGAUCCCUAGCUGGUCUGAGAGGAUGACCAGCCACACUGGAANUGAGACACGGUCCAGACUCCUACGGGAGGCAGCAGUGGGGAAUAUUGCACAAUGGGCGCAAGCCUGAUGCAGCCAUGCCGCGUGUAUGAAGAAGGCCUUCGGGUUGUAAAGUACUUUCAGCGGGGAGGAAGGGAGUAAAGUUAAUACCUUUGCUCAUUGACGUUACCCGCAGAAGAAGCACCGGCUAACUCCGUGCCAGCAGCCGCGGUAAUACGGAGGGUGCAAGCGUUAAUCGGAAUUACUGGGCGUAAAGCGCACGCAGGCGGUUUGUUAAGUCAGAUGUGAAAUCCCCGGGCUCAACCUGGGAACUGCAUCUGAUACUGGCAAGCUUGAGUCUCGUAGAGGGGGGUAGAAUUCCAGGUGUAGCGGUGAAAUGCGUAGAGAUCUGGAGGAAUCACCGGUGGCGAAGGCGGCCCCCUGGACGAAGACUGACGCUCAGGUGC
rnacentral:rRNA from 1 species